AUUGAACGCUGGCGGUAGGCCUAACACAUGCAAGUCGAACGCGAAAGUCCUUCGGGAUGAGUAGAGUGGCGGACGGGUGAGUAACGCGUAGGAAUCUGUCCUGUAGUGGGGGAUAACGUUUCGAAAGGAACGCUAAUACCGCAUACGCCCUACGGGGGAAAGCGGGGGAUCUUCGGACCUCGUGCUAUAGGAGGAGCCUGCGUCGGAUUAGCUAGUUGGUGAGGUAAAGGCUCACCAAGGCGACGAUCCGUAGCUGGUCUGAGCGGAUGAUCGCCCACCCCGGAACUGAGACACGGUCCGGACUCCUACGGGAGGCAGCAGUGGGGAAUAUUGCGCAAUUGGCGAAAGCCUGACGCGGCCAUACCGCGUGUGUGAAGAAGGCCUUCGGGUUGUAAAGCACUUUCAGUGGGGAGGAAAAGCUGGUGGCUAAUAUCCAUCGGCCGUGACGCUACCCACAGAAGAAGCACCGGCUAAUUCCGUGCCAGCAGCCGCGGUAAUAC
rnacentral:rRNA from 1 species